GAAACUGUUCUCGUUUCUUUUAGAAGGAUGAAUUAGACAGAGCAUUCACUUAGCUCUUAGCCUUCUUUUGAUUCAAAAAAAAAUUGCAAGCCAAAGAGGAACGUAUAUGUUCAGUUCAACUUCGGAUUUGUGGGUCUUAAAAUUGAUUUCUACUUGAGUAUUGGAGUUAGAUUUGAAUCUGAUUGAGGCGUAGGUUGUUUGAAGUCGGCUCGUGGUUCCGUCGGCAGUUGUCACAUUUCGAGUUUAAAGUAGUGAAACAAUCAAUUGUUCGGUUAUAUUGAGGUUUUACUCUUCAAUCCUCUACUUGUUUUAUUCUAGCUCAAUGUUUAUCUCUUG
rnacentral:lncRNA from 1 species